AUGAAGUUCCGGCAAUAACGUCAGCGUGGUAAAGGAAGGGAUAAAUUAGAACCAUGGACCCAAACGGAAAGCCGAGAAAUACAGUUACAUACAUACGGAAAAGUCACUUAAGACAAAAGUGUUACUACAUAGCAACAGCAGUCUGAAACUGAACUCCUAAUAUCUCCAAGGUGAAGGAACCAUGGCUGGACGAGAUGAAGUGACUUGGCUGCAACCACACAGCAUCACUACUUUGGCUUAGCUUUUAUGCAGGUUUUAUUUGUCCCUACAUGCCUACCCUCCA